AGUUCGAUCCUGGCUCAGAAUGCACGCUGGCGGCAGGCCUACACACAUGCAAGUCGAGCGGAUGAGUGGAGCUGUGUCUCCAUGAUUCAGCGGCGGACGGGUGAGUAAUGCCUAGGAAUCUGCCUGGUAGUGGGGGACAACGCUUUGCGAAAGCGCAACGACUAAUACCGCAUACGUCCUACGGGAGAAAGCAGGGGACCUUCGGGCCUUGCGCUAUCAGAUGAGCCUAGGUCGGAUUAGCUAGUUGGUGAGGUAAAGGCUCACCAAGGCGACGAUCCGUAACUGGUCUGAGAGGAUGAUCAGUCACAUCUGGAACUGAGACACGGUCCAGACUCCUACGGGAGGCAGCAGUGGGGAAUAUUGGACAAUGGGCGCAAGCCUGAUCCAGCCAUGCCGCGUGUGUGAAGAAGGUCUUCGGAUUGUAAAGCACUUUCAAGUUGGGAGGAAGGCGCAGUAAGUUAAUACCUUGCUGUUUUGACGU
rnacentral:rRNA from 1 species